UCCGAGUUGACCCCGGCAGUCUCCUGCGAGUCCCCGUCUUUCACGCUGGCAACUAACGACAAGGGUUGCGCUCGUUAAGGGACUUAACCCGACACUUCACGACACGAGCUGACGACAGCCAUGCAGCACCUGUGCACGGACUCCGAAGAGGGGCCGAUGUUUCCACCGGCUUUCCCGUGCAUGUCAAGCCCAGGUAAGGUUCUUCGCGUUGCUUCGAAUUAAACCACAUGCUCCACCGCUUGUGCGGGCCCCCGUCAAUUCCUUUGAGUUUCAGCCUUGCGGCCGUACUCCCCAGGCGGGGUACUUACUGCGUUAGCGACGGCACCGAAGGGGUCGCUCCCUCCGACGCCUAGUACCCAUCGUUUACGGCGUGGACUAC
rnacentral:misc_RNA from 1 species